rnacentral:rRNA from 1 species
CACGUAGGGGGCAAGCGUUUGUCCGGAUUUAUUGGGCGUAAAGAGCUCGUAGGCGGCUCGGUAAGUCAGGUGUCAAAUCCCUCAGCUCAACCUGGGGCACCACCUGAUACUGCUGUGGCUAGAGUCCGGUAGGGGAGCGUGGAAUUCCUGGUGUAGCGGUGAAAUGCGCAGAUAUCAGGAGGAACACCAGCGGCGAAGGCGGCGCUCUGGGCCGGAACUGACGCUGAGGAGCGAAAGCGUGGGUAGCAAACAGG